rnacentral:rRNA from 1 species
CAGUCGCCGCGGUAAUACGUAGGUGGCAAGCGUUGUCCGGAAUUAUUGGGCGUAAAGCGCGCGCAGGUGGUUUAAUAAGUCUGAUGUGAAAGCCCACGGCUCAACCGUGGAGGGUCAUUGGAAACUGUUAAACUUGAGUGCAGGAGAGAAAAGUGGAAUUCCUAGUGUAGCGGUGAAAUGCGUAGAUAUAUGGAGGAACACUAGUGGCGAAGGCGACUUUCUGGUCUGUAAUUGACGUUGAGGCUCGAAAGCGUGGGUAGCGAACAGGAUUAGAUACCCCCGUAGUCCCUGUCUCUUAUAC